UGCCCCUACGGGAGGCAGCAGUGGGGAAUAUUGGGCAAUGGGCGCAAGUCUGACCCAGCAACGCCGCGUGAAGGAAGAAGGCUUUCGGGUUGUAAACUUCUUUUGUCAGGGACGAAGCAAGUGACGGUACCUGACGAAUAGGCCACGGCUAACUACGUGCCAGCAGCCGCGGUAAUACGUAGGUGGCAAGCGUUAUCCGGAUUUAUUGGGUGUAAAGGGCGUGUAGGCGGGAAUGUAAGUCAGAUGUGAAAACUAUGGGCCCAACCCAUAGCCUGCAUUUGAAACUGUAUUUCUUGAGUGCUGGG
rnacentral:rRNA from 1 species